ensembl:snoRNA SNORA62 Small nucleolar RNA SNORA62/SNORA6 family
AUAUCAUGUUUUAAAGACAUAAUGAUGUCACUGACUGGCUGAUGAACUCACAAGCAUAGGUAGUAUGUUUAUGCAACAUGAUGAGGGGCAAGUUUUUCUCUAACACCACAAGGGUCUCUGGCCCAAUGAGUGGAGUUUGAUUGUAGUUCUUGCUACAGGU